GACGAACGCUGGCGGCGUGCUUAACACAUGCAAGUCGAACGAUGAAGCCGGAGCUUGCUCUGGUGAAUUAGUGGCGAACGGGUGAGUAACACGUGAGUAACCUGCCCUUGACUCUGGGAUAACUGCGGGAAACUGUAGCUAAUACCGGAUACGACCCUCGGAGGCAUCUCCUGGGGGUGGAAAGAAUUUCGGUCAAGGAUGGACUCGCGGCCUAUCAGCUAGUUGGUGAGGUAAAGGCUCACCAAGGCGACCACGGGUAGCCGGCCUGAGAGGGUGACCGGCCACACUGGGACUGAGACACGGCCCAGACUCCUACGGGAGGCAGCAGUGGGGAAUAUUGCACAAUGGGCGCAAGCCUGAUGCAGCAACGCCGCGUGAGGGAUGACGGCCUUCGGGUUGUAAACCUCUUUUAGCAGGGAGGAAGCGAAAGUGACGGUACCUGCAGAAAAAGCACCGGCUAGCUACGUGCCAGCCGCCGCAGUAA
rnacentral:rRNA from 1 species